UACGUAGGGACCGAGCGUUGUCCGGAAUCAUUGGGCGUAAAGAGCGUGUAGGCGGCUAUUUAAGUCCUGCGUGAAAUCCUGCGGCUCAACCGCAGACGGUCGUGGGAAACUGGAUGGCUAGAGUGCGGGAGAGGAGAGUGGAAUUCCCGGUGUAGCGGUGAAAUGCGCAGAUAUCGGGAAGAACACCCGUGGCGAAGGCGGCUCUCUGGAACGCAACUGACGCUGAGACGCGAAAGCGUGGGGAGCAAAUAGG
rnacentral:rRNA from 1 species